GACGGGGCCGCACAAGCGGAGGAGCAUGUGGUUUAAUUCGAUGCAACGCGAAGAACCUUACCUGGUCUUGACAUCCCGGAGACCCUUAGGAAACUAGGGGGUGCUUCCAUCUGGAAGAAUCUGGAGACAGGUGCUGCAUGGCUGUCGUCAGCUCGUGUCGUGAGAUGUUGGGUUAAGUCCCGCAACGAGCGCAACCCUUGCCUUUAGUUGCCAGCAGUUCGGCUGGGCACUCUAAAGGGACUGCCGGUGUUAAACCGGAGGAAGGUGGGGAUGACGUCAAGUCCUCAUGGCCUUUAUGACCAGGGCUACACACGUACUACAAUGGCCGAUACAAAGGGCAGCGACACUGCGAGGUGAAGCCAAUCCCGUAAAAUCGGUCUCAGUCCGGAUUGGAGUCUGCAACUCGACUCCAUGAAGUUGGAAUCGCUAGUAAUCGUGGAUCAGCAUGCCACGGUGAAUACGUUCCCGGGCCUU
rnacentral:rRNA from 1 species